AGGAGGGCACUGGAGACAGAGGUGCUCUCCUUAUCCACAUGACAGGGAUAGCACUGGCAGUAGCAGUGCAAGCUUCUCCUCAGCUGUCCCACCAGGGUGCCCCCGCCCUAGCUUAAAAGGAUCACCUGUGCGGGGAUGAGGUUAAACUUCUACUCCGAUCAAUGCUUGGUGACU
rnacentral:sRNA from 1 species